GGCUGUCUCAUCGCUUGUCGUGACUGGACAGUCGGCGUGGACGUUCUACACCGACGUCAACUUCACGGGAUCCAAUGUGUGCGUGUACGCGGAUGAGCACUACGCUAAUGGGAGCAUCCAUCUUGACUUCGCACGUUUCUAUACUAUGGACGAGCUCGGUAUGGCGGACAACUCC